GCGAACUCCGGUGGAAAAGCGCCCCAGGCUGCCACAGCCUAGAGAUCUUGGGGCUGCAGCCCUCGCGGCCUGCCGAGGGAGCAGGGGGCGCCCGUGGAACUGGCUCCCUGCAGCUCUGCGGCUACACGCGGACCUCGGCUGUGUGCGAGGUGGCGGAGGAGGCUGGCCGGGUGCGAAUCCGUACCCAGCCCCAGCAUCUUCCACCUGCUGAGGACCACCGCUCAGCCAUGGGCUACCAGAGGCAGGAGCCUGUCAUCCCGCCGCAGAGAGAUCUAGAUGGCAGAGAAACCCUUGUUUCUGAACAUGAGUAUAAAGAGAAAACCUGUCAGUCUGCUGCUCUUUUUAAUGUUGUCAACUCGAUUAUAGGAUCUGGUAUAAUAGGAUUGCCUUAUUCAAUGAAGCAAGCUGGGUUUCCUUUGGGAAUAUUGCUUUUAUUCUGGGUUUCAUAUGUUACAGACUUUUCCCUUGUUUUAUUGAUAAAAGGAGGGGCCCUCUCUGGAACAGAUACCUACCAGUCUUUGGUCAAUAAAACUUUCGGCUUUCCAGGGUAUCUGCUCCUCUCUGUUCUUCAGUUUUUGUAUCCUUUUAUAGCAAUGAUAAGUUACAAUAUAAUAGCUGGAGAUACUUUGAGCAAAGUUUUUCAAAGAAUCCCAGGAGUUGAUCCUGAAAACGUGUUUAUUGGUCGCCACUUCAUUAUUGGACUUUCCACAGUUACCUUUACUCUGCCUUUAUCCUUGUACCGAAAUAUAGCAAAGCUUGGAAAGGUCUCUCUCAUCUCUACGGGUUUAACAACUCUGAUUCUUGGAAUUGUAAUGGCGAGGGCAAUUUCACUGGGUCCACACAUACCAAAAACAGAAGACGCUUGGGUAUUUGCAAAGCCCAAUGCCAUUCAAGCGGUCGGGGUUAUGUCUUUUGCAUUUAUUUGCCACCAUAACUCCUUCUUAGUUUACAGUUCUCUAGAAGAACCCACAGUAGCUAAGUGGUCCCGCCUUAUCCAUAUGUCCAUCGUGAUUUCUGUAUUUAUCUGUAUAUUCUUUGCUACAUGUGGAUACUUGACAUUUACUGGCUUCACCCAAGGGGACUUAUUUGAAAAUUACUGCAGAAAUGAUGACCUGGUAACAUUUGGAAGAUUUUGUUAUGGUGUCACUGUCAUUUUGACAUAUCCUAUGGAAUGCUUUGUGACAAGAGAGGUAAUUGCCAAUGUGUUUUUUGGUGGGAAUCUUUCAUCGGUUUUCCACAUUGUUGUAACAGUGAUGGUCAUCACUGUAGCCACGCUUGUGUCAUUGCUGAUUGAUUGCCUUGGGAUAGUUCUAGAACUCAAUCAGUACAAAGAGAGAAAAUGAAGCAGCUGGUGCCUGUGCCAGCAUAACCAGCUCAACAAGCAUUGUGUGUGGUUUACAGUGGAAGGAAGAAAGCAAGCCAAAUGCCAGCAAGAGCCCAGAUAAAGAAAUACAGUCUUUGGGGGUGUGCUCUGUGCAACUCCCCUCAUUUUUAUCAUUCCAUCAGCCUGUUAUCUGAAACUGUCUGAAGAACCAAGGACACACUCCGAUAAGAUUAUGUCUUGUGUCAUGCUUCCCAUUGGUGCUGUGGUGAUGGUUUUUGGAUUCGUCAUGGCUAUUACAAAUCCUCAAGACUGCACCCAUGGGCAGGAAAUGUUCUACUGCUUUCCUGACAAUUUCUCUCUCACAAAUACCUCAGAGUCUCAUGUUCAGCAGACAACACAACUUUCUACUUUAAAUAUUAGUAUCUUUCAAUGAGUUGACUGCUUUAAAAAUAUGGAUGUUUUCAUAGACUUUAAAACACAUAACAUUUACACUUGCUUUAGUCUGUAUUUAUGUUAUAUAAAAUUAUUAUUUUGGCUUUUAUCAAGACUUGGCUUUUAUGAGUAGUGCAAUAUAAAAGAUAAAGAAAAAUUGAAUGUAUUUCACCUUUAACUGGAACAAAAUAAGUGUUUUGUUCUAAUGACUGCACUACACUAAUGCUAAUUGAAGAAGGGAGAGUUAAGCCUUUAGCAUUUUCUGCCAUCCCCCUUUUAUUUAAUAUGCAAACCAGUAUAUUGUGCUCCAAAAUAAGUAGGUGAUUGUGGGUUGGAAUUUUGUGUAGAUGUCUUUUGGUGGGGGGGUGUGGGGGGUGGGCAUUUUCUUUGUCCUUAAAAGUCUGUGGAACUGAAGAGAAGGGAAACCCAAAACGAUUGAAAAGAAGAUAUAUCCCAAGAACAAAGAGGAGCUCUCCGUUAUAAUUUCAGCAGCAUCCUUUGUUUAAAGGGAAAUGGAUCCCUGGAGAAAUGAGCAAAGACCUCUCCAUGUGAGGAAGCCUGAAUCAUAGACUGGCUGUGAGGAGCAAGGUGUGUAAAGAAUCAAAAUCACCUCCCAUCUUCUGAUGCUGUGGGAAUACAAUGGUAGCGCCAUUCUAAAACAGAAAAACAAACAAACAAACAAAAAAACAAAAACAAAAAACAGUUGUUCUGUGGCAAGAACCUAAGAGAUUGGUGAUAUGGACCUGUUGAAUUUUUAGUGCUGUCAGGAAUGUACAACUGGAAGCUGAACUUUGAAACUAGAAACGUGUAAGAAGAAUCAGGGCUACAGAAGAAGCUUUCUCAGUCCACUGGGGGUUCCUCAGAGAGAUUUCUGGGAGCUCUUGUUGACUGGGUCUUUGGGAGCAGAUAGUGAGAUGGAGUUUAUCAUAACUAAUGGGAGAGAGGGGAAAGCAGGAUUGUUAGGGAGAGGUAGAACUGCAGUGCAGGCUGACCUCAGCCAAAUCCACAGGGAAGCUGGUGCUUACAUGACCCAUCAGAGUUGUCCCUGUUCAAGGGUAAUAGCCCAGUUUUGAUACUGCUGCCUCCAUCAGUCAUUUAAUGUGAGCAUCUGGAGAAGGAUGAGUUCUUGGGCUAGGCAGCUCUUUGCAGCAGAGCAAACCCUAAAGGAACUGAGAGCUGGAGGUGGUCUACUGAUAGCUUUGUCACCACAUGCUUCCUUACAGGGGUAUCUGGGAGACACAGCUGUGCCUACCACAGAUGCCCUCAGUUUACUGAGGAUUUUUAAAUGAUUUUUUAAUGAGGACUUUGUGUCUUUGUAUGUAUGACAAUCUUUAAAAAGUAACAUGAAAAUCUGGGGCCAUCUGGAUGGCUUCCUUAUAUCAAGUAUCACCUAAGAUUUUCAUGUCAUUUGUAUUCCAAUCAGGUUGUCCAUCUGUGGCACUAUAUUAAUUGUUGCCAAAUAACGAGAAACUAUCACAAGCAGAGUUAAUACAUAUAUGAUGAGUUUGUACAAAUCAAAUGCAAAAAAAAAUCCUACAGGAAGUGUAUAAAGGGUAGGUUCACAGUAGUUUGAAUAAAGUGGCAAGAGCUGAGUCACUGUGUGACUCAUAGUGAGAAAGGCCUAUUGAACAUAAAGGAAGAUGCAUUUUAGCAGGUAGAACCAUGCUCAGGGUUUUAGUGGUGAUUUGUUUUUUCAAUAAAAUAUUAUCCUUACCACUAAAUUAAUUUAAAUCCUGUUGGGUAACUUUUCUGUAUUUAACUUAUAAAUUUGUUUUUUUAUAGUUAAGGGUCAUAGGCUAAGCAGUUUGUGCCUGUUUUUAGAUUGGUACAUGUUUAGGUAAAAUAUAAUAAAAAUGCUUUCAUUCCAUGUAAGAAAUGAGGAAAUGUAAGAAAUUUUUGCCACAGUCUGUCAUUACAUUGCUCAAGACUGAGAAACACUGACCUACAUAAUUAUUAAAUAAAGUCAUGAGGGAUGAGAUCUCUAAGCAUGUACAAAGAAAA